UCCACCCCCACCCUGAGCCCCUGCCGGCCUUACCAGAGCUCCCUGAGCAAGGAAGCAGUCACUGUCCUGCAAGGUCCUGGUCUGGGCCCAGGUCCAGCCGGCCUCGGGGGGUGGGGGGGCAGAGGACGCUGUGGACUCAGCAGCACGGAGGGCCGCAGGGUCGUGCGUGGCCUGAGCCUGCACCCUCAUGGCCAGUGUUCCCAGGCCGCGUGUUCAGUCAGCUCCCCUGGGCUCUGUGUGUGUGUGUGUGUGUGUGUGUGUGUGCGUGCGCGCGCACGUGCACUCGCGCACAUGCUCACAGGUGCCUGCACGCCCAGCCCCGGGCUGGGGUGAGGAUCCAGCAGCCAUCAGGACCGGACACAGGCAGGCCCAGCCCAGCAGCAGGGCCUCAAGGGCCCAUGGAGGGCCCAGCGCUGAUGGCCGAAGGGAGUGGGGGUCGGGGGCGAUGGGAAGCCGGCAUCAGGCUCUCGGUGCUCAUCUGUGUGGCUCUGCGGGUCAGAACUUCACCCCUCCUCCGGCCGAAGGGUGCAGGAUGGACAGUGGAAUUCAUUCCAUUUGGCCAAGAAGGGCCCGCUCCUCCCUGGGUGGACAUUUGCCUGCGCUCCUUACACUGAGCAUCGGAGCCCCCGGUGAGACCGGGUGAGUGGGACGCAGGGCCGCCCACGGGCACUUCUCUCCCGGCCGCCUCCCUGCGAUCCUCCGCCCCCACCUUCUUUCUACACAGCAGACCUUCAGGAUCUAUGAGACGAAAGCCGAGAGCUUACUAAGAGCUCAGAGCACCACUAAGGCAGAUGAGGGCAACGGCCCGGGUUCUGGGCUCUCUCGGUCACUACCAUGGAGACCGGUAUGUACCGACCUUGGUGUUGCAAAAUGCGCGUUCCGGGUCUGCCCAUGGUCGGCUGCCUCAGGGCCCGCACGGUCUGUUCCUCUGCCCGCCCUCCCCC
rnacentral:lncRNA from 1 species